GUGAGAGGCAGAGGGUGCUGAUUGAGCGAUCAAAGUGCUAAAUGAGCAUCAAAAUUCCCAAGUGAGCAACAUGACUGCAGAGUAAGCACCCAAAAUGGCACCAGUCUCUCAAUUGACGCGUAAGUGAGCGCCUUAUUCCAGAGAAGUGCUGUACACCAGUCUGCUCCUUCAUUCAUGUUGUUGUGUUUGUAGCUAAUAAUGCGAAGGGAAUUGCUUGACUUGAGAUCACUCCUUAUCCACCAAGCAAGCACAGCAGUGGCAGAGCAUUGCUGCAGGAGUCAUGUCGUGGAUGUGAGUGCGACAACUACCACAGAAGAUUAGCCGACCUAAAGCCACUUCUCAAGCAGAAGGAAGGUAGCCCGAUUGUCGUGGUCGUGGGAGGUGGUAUCUUUGUUUCGGCAUGCAAAUCCACGAAAGGUUAAAGUCUUGAUGGCAUAAGCGGAAAAGUGCUAAAAGCCUGUGGUAAUCAACCGGCUGUGCCCUUUUGGCUUUGGUAAUUUUUUCAAUGGUAUCAAAGAGGUCCGUAAGUGACGCUGUUCUAGUUAUCCACUUAGUCCAGCAGCACA